UACGUAGGGACCAAGCGUUGUUCGGAUUUACUGGGCGUAAAGGGCGCGUAGGCGGCGCGACAAGUCACUUGUGAAAUCUCUGAGCUUAACUCAGAACGGCCAAGUGAAACUGUUGUGCUAGAGUGCAGAAGGGGCAAUCGGAAUUCUUGGUGUAGCGAUGAAAUGCGUAGAUAUCAAGAGGAACACCUGAGGUGAAGACGGGUUGCUGGGCUGACACUGACGCUGAAGCGCGAAAGCCAGGGGAGCAAACGGG
rnacentral:rRNA from 1 species